rnacentral:misc_RNA from 1 species
UUGAGCCCGGACAGCCCUCAACGUAUUUUGAUGGCCAUAGGUGUGGCGGAAUCGUACCGCCACCGUCGUUUCUAAGGGGCUCCGAUGCGCAAGAUUGCUGUACUUCUCCUCGCUGCCGCGGGCGUUGGCCUGGCAGGCGCGGCUUCCGCAGCCGAUCUCGGCACCGCGCCGAUCUAUCGCAAGGCACCACCUCCGGUGCAGGUCUUCUCGUGGACCGGCGGUUACAUCGGU